AGCUGGCCCAGGUGCAGUGGUGUUUACAAAUAAUUGAUCACAACCAGUUACAGAUUUCUUUGUUCCUUCUCCACUCACACUGCUUCACUUGACUAGCCUUAA
rnacentral:Y_RNA from 1 species